GUUUUUAAGAUACAUAUUAAAAGUUUACUCUAAAAUGAGGGGAAAAUAAUCUGAAGAUGAGAAUUUUCUCUGUUACUCAAGUUUAUGUUACAUUUAGCACCAAGUAUAUUAUUGUUGCUAUCACCUUAGGGGUUGUUUACAUGAGCCCGGGUAGCCAUGUAGGCUGGCCCGGUUAACCAGGCUGAAGGCCUGGCUAGCCAGGUUACAUGAGUUGGUGACUUUACAUGGGAAAAUUCCAGCCUGGUUAUCCGGGCGUCCCCUUUGACUCAAGUGAGAUCUCGGCUAGGAAGAUUCUUGUUAAAUGAUUUGUAUUAAGCUGGGUGCCUCGGUUAACAGGACUAGUCAGGCUCAUGUAAAUAGCCCCUUAGUUAUUAAGACUUGUUGGCAGAGUAAAAUAUAUCAGGCAAUAAAACUGGUUUCAACUUGCAACAAAUCAGAUGUUGUUUUUUACAAAGGGAACCAAGAAAAUGAAACUUUAACAUCUAGUGUAUUCUACUAUGUACAAGUUGUACAACCCCAAAAAUGUAAACAACACUUUGAUUUGAUUUUAGUUCCAUAAAUCCAUAUUUUUUAUCCAUAUUAUCAAUCCAUAUUUAAUUUGAUUUUAGUUCCAUAAAUCCAUAUAAUUU